GUAAUAUAGUGUUUGCACUGUAUAUUUUUACUGUACGAAGGUCGCAUAGUAAUGUAGAAUUAAUCAGUAGUUACUGCUAACCAGCUCUUGCUUAAAAGGAGAAAAUCGCCGGAUCCCCACCCGCGCGGCAGGUGGGGUAUGUGGGAGUUGAACCUCACUAAAAACUCCUGCCGCUCACAACCGGCGCCCUACCUCGGACCGGGCCGGAGCCCAGUCGGGGCUAUUGAAACGGCGGGACAGGGUUGACGCAGAGCACAUUACAUCCAUCCCACCGUCCCACGGACGCCGGACCGGUGGCCGCCAGCGAAACGACCACCGGUUCCCUCGUUCAGCGGGCCGAGAGCCCGCAGCUGCCUCAAUCUUAGAUUUUAUUAAACAUGGUUUUCGAUUAGCAGGUAUGUGCUGAGAGAAAAA